CCAAGUCCCCUGUCACCCCGGCCACUGCUCACUGAUGUGUUUGCUCUGCUCAGUCUCCUCUUCCCCGUGGGUGCGGGGAAAUCCGCACCUUCCGGGGUGCUUCAGGGCUCCGAGGGACACCAGUGUCACGCCGCGACAAGCCCAACAGGUCCCCGAGCUCAGCCGCUUCCCAGGCAGGUGUCACCCCCCCGCCGAGCAUCCUCAUCCCCCGCUCGGAGCUUCCCGGGCUGCCCGGGGAGUGGUGCCGGUGCAGCAGCUUACACGACCACACAGGAGAGACGACAGCAUGCUGUGUGGAUGGGCCAUGGGCUCCCUCUCCAGCUCACCCCCUGCCUUCCAAGACCCCGAUCCCCCAGCAGAACCCACUCUGGGGUGUUUUCUCCCACGUUCAGCCCUGCACAGCAGGGCUGCUCCUUGGCAGAGAAGUGGACUUGGCUGUUCGCCUCCUUCCUGUAUCUCAGCAGGAGUUCAGCUCCUGCCAGAAGUCCCCAGGGGAGCCAGCAUCAAAGUGCACCCCUCACCAGGAGAAAAUGUAACAU
rnacentral:lncRNA from 1 species